UCGAAGUGCUUUGAUUUUCGGCCCAUCACUUUAGAGAAACGCACGUCAGUCCCGCGGGAAUUGCAGAGAGAUUUGAUUGUGCGGUUAGCUACGGCAAUUUCAAGGUAUUGCCCCACUCCGGCAAGUAGGUAUCCGUCUGAAUUGCCUGGCCGGUAACACGUAUGUGAUGUAAAUACGUAUACAUAUAUGUAGAUAUCUCCGAAGUGCAGCUGCUGACGCAGAUGAAAAUCGUCUUAAUUAAUUCGUAGCGUUCCCCAGCGCUGAGCACUAUACAUUAUGGACGGCGAUAUAUGUAUAUAUAUACCUUCUCGGAUAUAUACCUGACUAUUUCAUGUAACAUGAUCUGCUUUCACAAUUAAUCAACGAUCCAGUCAGUCGCGAUGUUCGGUUCGUUGUAUACCUAUCCAGUACGCUCCAGCAUCUCGCUGUACAGUAGGCCCACAAAAAUCAGGUGAUCCGGAAUCGCGAGCGGUGAAGUAAGCAAGCCAGGAAACUGAUAUCGAACUUUCAGUCGCGCGUGUAAAAAAACCUCGGCGUAUUUUAUGUUCCCUUCAAUUUUUACGCAUCCAAACAUUCACCGAGUUCGGAGUCACUCUUCUGUGAAAAUGUAUCCGGCAAACUUCCUACCCGAUGCCGUGCACAGAGACGUCUUGCCGCGGAUGCAUUUCAAUUCCAGCUUCAUGCGAUCGUGAACAUCAUUCGUUGGAAGGUGUUUGAAAAAGGAAAAUCUGCAUUUCCGUUGAAAUUCGAAUUGGAAAGAACGGAAAGUUGGAUUUCGAGCGGAAUUUUUUUAUGGAUCGAAAAUUGGAACCGCUCCUCGAAGGACGAGGGAUAACUCCGGUGAGAAAAUCGUUGAACGUAUUUUUGAUCCGUCGAUACCUCGAGACACGAACUAUGGGGGAUCGACGAUCGUCGGACGAAACGUAAGGUAACCACAGGUGAGGCGUGGUUCAAACCCAGGUUCCCGGGUGCUGGAUCAAUAUUAACUCCCAUAACCCACCUGCCUGCUUGCCUGCUUGUCUGCCGCUGCCUGGACCAUUGCACUGCGAUCAGGAGGGACAAUUUCGCGUCUAGAGAGAAAAAAUCAACGCCACUUGUUCGUGAUCUUUACAUCUCAGAGAUUUUGAUGAUCUCCAACGACGUCACGGGUACGAUGACGCCCCCCUUCCCGAACGAAAAACCCCCUGGGUAUAAAAAUCUCCGUACGCAAUCGAAUUUUUUCGAACUGUAAAAUUUCGAAUUCGAGUUAGGGAUUGCGUGUGAAAAUGCAAAAAAACGUAUACAAGGUCGAAUUGAUUUUCCACGAAAAUGUCAAAGGUCAGCGACACCGUGGGACAGCGAUAUGAAAGGUAACAAAAGGCACAGCGCCACACGCACACGGACAAUUGAAUCUCCCGAACAAUCGGACAACAUUUUCUUGUCCCAUCCGCAAAAGCUUCGUACGUACUUUUCCAUACACGUCGUUUAGGUAAAAAAUAUCCCGCUACAGGGAGGGUAUAAAUAAAAUAUAUAUGAAAGUUGGAUAAACAUCUUGAUAUAUAUCCUCAUCUCGCUCUUCCGUACUGUCUUUCCAGAUCUACCGUGGACCCGAAAGUCACGGAGAGACUGGAGAAAAAGAAAAAGGAAUCAAACUUGAAACCAAAAAAAAAAAGCUUUCAUCGAAAGGCAAGAAAAAUUCAAUAAAUGAAUAAAAAGCUUUGCCGUUUAAUUGUUUCUUAUGGUCACCACGGUAAUUACGUGCCAUCACUCCCCUGCGGGGGAUGCGUUCGUUUUGUUACAUCGGAGGUGUAGUGUGGAAGGGAACUCGUUGAGGCGGGUCGAACACGUUUUGAGACCUCAUCCCACUCCGAUACUACUUAAUCUUAGUUUUGGAGAGCCACUGAGCUGUUAAUCACGAUUUAGGGCAUUCCGGCUACACGUUAUGUGUUACGAAUUUACUUUCGAAAAAGAUGAAGAAAAAGAAAAAAAUAAAU